GUAGCAGGUUAGGAGAACUAAUGUAGCAGGUUAGGAUAAUUAAGGUAGCAGGUUAGGAGAACUAAUGUAGCAGGUUAGGAUAAUUAAGGUAGCAGGUUAGGAGAACUAAUGUAGCAGGUUAGGAUAAUUAAGGUAGCAGGUUAGGAGAACUAAUGUAGCAGGUUAGGAUAAUUAAGGUAGCAGGUUAGGAGAACUAAUGUAGCAGGUUAGGAUAAUUAAGGUAGCAGGUUAGGAGAACUAAUGUAGCAGGUUAGGAUAAUUAAGGUAGCAGGUUAGGAGAACUAAUGUAGCAGGUUAGGAUAAUUAAGGUAGCAGGUUAGGAGAACUAAUGUAGCAGGUUAGGAUAAUUAAGGUAGCAGGUUAGGAGAACUAAUGUAGCAGGUUAGGAUAAUUAAGGUAGCAGGUUAGGAGAACUAAUGUAGCAGGUUAGGAUAAUUAAGGUAGCAGGUUAGGAGAACUAAUGUAGCAGGUUAGGAUAAUUAAGGUAGCAG